UUUAUCUUAUCUGUUUUUGUUUUGAAAAAGAAAAAAUUUCCUUAAACCUUUCCCCACUUCUCAUGUUCCCCCUUUUCUCCCUAUUCUGUUCAGUUUUUUCUCUCUUUUCACGCAAGUUCCAGUGAAGGAUGUCUUCAAUUUUUCUUCUUUCUUUCUUGUGCUCUUUCUCAAAUUUUUCUUUGUUUCUUGAUUGCUUGUUCUUGUUGUAUUCAUAUUCGGUGGUGAGUGUGACAACUCGAUUCUUGUGUGAAGGUCACGAAAUGAUUAAUUUUCCGGUGGAUUAAGGCUUGUGAGGGUGCUGUUUACAUUCUGGGGUAAGUGGUUAGCGGAGUUUUGGGGCUGUUAGUUGCUGAAAAUAGGUUAGUUUUGGUAUAAUUUUAGUUAUUAACUUGUAUGAGUUGUGAAUUUAGUUAUUGGUAUAUUCAAUUCUUGAACUAAUUACAUCAGAUUUCAAUAAGAUGUGUAACGAAAAACUCAAAAAAAGCGAACGACGCUAAGUUAAAAAUUUGA